rnacentral:rRNA from 1 species
CCCUUAGAUGUCCUGGGCCGCACGCGCGUUACACUGAUGCAUUCAACGAGCUUAUAACCUUGGCCGAGAGGCCUGGGCAAUCUUGUUAACGUGCAUCGUGGUAGGGAUAGAUUAUUGAAAUUAUUAAUCUUGAACGAGGAAUUCCUAGUAAACGCAGAUCAUCAAUCUGCAUUGAUUACGUCCCUGCCCUUUGUACACACCGCCCGUCGCUCCUACCGAUUGGGUGUGCUGGUGAAAUGUUCGGAUCGGCCGUUUGUCGCGGUUUCCGCGUCAUGUGGCUGAGAAGUUCAUUAAACCCUCCCACCUAGAGGAAGGAGAAGUCGUAACA